CACGUAGGGCGCAAGCGUUGUCCGGAAUUAUUGGGCGUAAAGAGCUCGUAGGCGGCCUGUUGCGUCCGCUGUGAAAACUCGGGGCUUAACCCCGAGCCUGCAGUGGAUACGGGCAGACUAGAGGUAGGUAGGGGAGAAUGGAAUUCCCGGUGUAGCGGUGAAAUGCGCAGAUAUCGGGAGGAACACCGGUGGCGAAGGCGGUUCUCUGGGAAUGUCCUGACGCUGAGGAGCGAAAGUGUGGGGAGCGAACAGG
rnacentral:rRNA from 1 species